GAUGAACGCUGGCGGCGUGCCUAAUACAUGCAAGUCGAGCGAACAGACGAGGAGCUUGCUCCUCUGACGUUAGCGGCGGACGGGUGAGUAACACGUGGAUAACCUACCUAUAAGACUGGGAUAACUUCGGGAAACCGGAGCUAAUACCGGAUAAUAUAUUGAACCGCAUGGUUCAAUAGUGAAAGACGGUUUUGCUGUCACUUAUAGAUGGAUCCGCGCCGCAUUAGCUAGUUGGUAAGGUAACGGCUUACCAAGGCAACGAUGCGUAGCCGACCUGAGAGGCUGCUCCGCGACACUGGAACUGAGCCACGGUCCAGACUCCUAAGGGCGGCAGCAGUAGGGAAUCGUCCGCAAUGGGCUAAAGCCUAACGGAACAACGCCGCGUGAGUGAUGAAGGUCUUCGGAUCGUAAAACUCUGUUAUUAGGGAAGAACAAAUGUGUAAGUAACUAGGCACGUCUUGACGGUACCUAAUCAGAAAGCCACGGCUAACUACGUG
rnacentral:rRNA from 1 species